UACGAAGGGUGCAAACGUUGCUCGGAAUUAUUGGGCGUAAAGCGCACGUAGGCGGCUUUGCAAGUCGGAUGUGAAAUCCCUCGGCUUAACCAAGGAAGUGCAUCCGAAACUGCAGAGCUUGAGUACUUAAGAGGAUCGCGGAAUUCCCGGUGUAGAGGUGAAAUUCGUAGAUAUCGGGAGGAACACCAGUGGCGAAGGCGGCGAUCUGGGAACAUACUGACGCUGAGGUGCGAAAGCGUGGGGAGCAAACAGG
rnacentral:rRNA from 1 species